rnacentral:rRNA from 1 species
CGGAGGGUGCAAGUCGUUAUCCGGUAUUUACGUGGGUUUAAAGGGUGUGUAGGCGGACUUUUAAGUCAGCGGUGAAAUCUCCGGGCUCAACCCGGAAACUGCCAUUGAUACUAUUGGUCUUGAAUGUUGUUGAGGUGGGCGGAACGGGUCAUGUAGCGGUGAGAUGCAUAGAUAUGACCCGGAACACCGAUUGCGAAGGCAGCCCACUAAGCAAUGAUUGACGCUGAGGCACGAAAGCGUGGGGAUCAAACAGGAUUAGAUACCCUGGUAGUCCACGCCCUAAACGAUGAUUACUCGACGUUGGCGAUACACUGAUCAGCGUCCAAGCGAAAGCAUUAAGUAAUCCACCUGGGAAGUACGUUCGCAAGAAUG